GGGCCGAUAGUUCAGAUGGGAGAACGCUACAUUCGCAUUGUAGAGGUCGAGGGUUCGAAUCCCUCUCGGUACA
rnacentral:tRNA from 1 species